rnacentral:tRNA from 2 species
GGGCCCAUAGCUCAUCUGGUAGAGCGCCGCGUUUGCACCGCGGAGGUGGCAGGUUCGAGUCCUGUUGGGUCCACCA